UCUAAUGUGGCAGAAAAGUGCAAUGAAUUUAAGCUUCAUAUAUAAAGGAACUCCCUUUCGUUAGAA
rnacentral:tRNA from 1 species